rnacentral:rRNA from 1 species
GGUUAAGUUAUUAAGGGCGCAUGGUGAAUGCCUUGGCACUAGGAGCCGAUGAAGGACGGGACUAACACCGAUAUGCCUCGGGGAGCUGUAAGUAAGCUUUGAUCCGGGGAUUUCCGAAUGGGGGAACCUAACUUGUUAUGCAAGUUAUCGUUUAAUGAAUACAUAGUUAAACGAUGGUAGACGUUGUGAACUGAAACAUCUCAUUAGCAACAGGAGAAUAAAGAAAAAUCGAUUCCGUCAGUAGCGGCGAGCGAACACGGAGAAGCCCAAACCAGAGUGCUUGCAUUCUGGGGUUGUAGGACUACCGUUGUGGAGUUACAAAUUUGUUUAUUAGCAGAAUCAGCUGGGAAGCUGAGCGACACUGGGUGAUAGCCCCGUAUGCGAAAGUAAGCAAACUCCCGUGUAGGAUCCUGAGUACGGCUGGACACGUGAAAUCCAGUUGGAAACUGCGAGGACCAUCUCGUAAGGCUAAAUACUCCCUAGUGACCGAUAGUGAACCAGUACCGUGAGGGAAAGG